UAUUGGACAAUGGGGGGAACCCUGAUCCAGUGACGCCGCGUGAGUGAAGAAGUAUUUCGGUANGUAAAGCUCUAUCAGCUGGGAANNCCNNNANGACGGUACCUGACUAAGGAGCCCCGGCUAACUACGUNNNCGCAGCCGCGGUAAUACGUAGGGGGCAAGCGUUAUCCGGAUUUACUGGGUGUAAAGGGAGCGUAGACGGCGAUGCAAGUCUGAAGUGAAAGGCGGGGGCCCAACCCCCGGACUGCUUUGGAAACUGUAUGGCUGGAGUGCAGGAGAGGUAAGUGGAAUUCCUAGUGUAGCGGUGAAACGCGUAGAUAUUAGGAGGAACACCAGUGGCGAAGGCGGCUUACUGGACUGUAACUGACGUUGAGGCUCGAAAGCGUGGGGAGCAAA
rnacentral:rRNA from 1 species